rfam:Myotis lucifugus cont2.9176, whole genome shotgun sequence.
GAGACACCCUUAUGGGGCAGGACUUGCUUCAGUGGGGCUUUGGUGCUCACUGAGUCUUACCCUUGAGUGUGUCGCU